GACGAACGCUGGCGGCGUGCUUAACACAUGCAAGUCGAACGGAAAGGCCCCUUUGGGGGUACUCGAGUGGCGAACGGGUGAGUAACACGUGAGUAACCUGCCCUUGACUUCGGGAUAACUUCAGGAAACUGGGGCUAAUACCGGCAAGGAAUCCUUGCUGCAUGGUGGGGGUUGGAAAGCUUCGGCGGUUUUGGAUGGACUGGCGGCGUAUCAGCUUGUUGGUGGGGUAGUGGCUUACCAAGGCUUUGACGGGUAGCCGGCCUGAGAGGGCGACCGGCCACACUGGGACUGAGAGACGGCACAGGUGCCGACUGGAGGAAGCAGUGGGGAAUAUUGCACAAGGGGCGGAAGCCGGAUGCAGCAACGCCGCGUGCGGGAUGACGGUCUUCGGGUUGUAAACCGCGUUCAGCAGGGGCGAAGCUUGUGGUGACGGUACCUGCAGAAGAAGCACCGGCUAACUACGUG
rnacentral:rRNA from 1 species